rnacentral:rRNA from 1 species
CACGGAUCCAGACUUUGAUUAUGGCUCAGGACGAACGCUGGCGGCGUGCCUAAUACAUGCAAGUUGAGCGCUGAAGGUUGGUACUUGUACCAACUGGAUGAGCAGCGAACGGGUGAGUAACGCGUGGGGAAUCUGCCUUUGAGCGGGGGACAACAUUUGGAAACGAAUGCUAAUACCGCAUAAAAACUUUAAACACAAGUUUUAAGUUUGAAAGAUGCAAUUGCAUCACUCAAAGAUGAUCCCGCGUUGUAUUAGCUAGUUGGUGAGGUAAAGGCUCACCAAGGCGAUGAUACAUAGCCGACCUGAGAGGGUGAUCGGCCACAUUGGGACUGAGACACGGCCCAAACUCCUACGGGAGGCAGCAGUAGGGAAUCUUCGGCAAUGGACGAAAGUCUGGCCGAGCAACGCCGCGUGAGUGAAGAAGGUUUUCGGAUCGUAAAACUCUGUUGGUAGAGAAGAACGUUGGUGAGAGUGGAAAGCUCAUCAAGUGACGGUAACUACCCAGAAAGGGACGGCUAACUACGUGCCAGCAGCCGCGGUAAUACGUAGGUCCCGAGCGUUGUCCGGAUUUAUUGGGCGUAAAGCGAGCGCAGGUGGUUUAUUAAGUCUGGUGUAAAAGGCAGUGGCUCAACCAUUGUAUGCAUUGGAAACUGGUAGACUUGAGUGCAGGAGAGGAGAGUGGAAUUCCAUGUGUAGCGGUGAAAUGCGUAGAUAUAUGGAGGAACACCGGUGGCGAAAGCGGCUCUCUGGCCUGUAACUGACACUGAGGCUCGAAAGCGUGGGGAGCAAACAGGAUUAGAUACCCUGGUAGUCCACGCCGUAAACGAUGAGUGCUAGAUGUAGGGAGCUAUAAGUUCUCUGUAUCGCAGCUAACGCAAUAAGCACUCCGCCUGGGGAGUACGACCGCAAGGUUGAAACUCAAAGGAAUUGACGGGGGCCCGCACAAGCGGUGGAGCGUGUGGUUUAAUUCGAAGCAACGCGAAGAACCUUACCAGGUCUUGACAUACUCGUGCUAUUCCUAGAGAUGGGAAGUUCCUUCGGGACACGGGAUACAGGUGGUGCAUGGUUGUCGUCAGCUCGUGUCGUGAGAUGUUGGGUUAAGUCCCGCAACGAGCGCAACCCCUAUUGUUAGUUGCCAUCAUUAAGUUGGGCACUCUAACGAGACUGCCGGUGAUAAACCGGAGGAAGGUGGGGAUGACGUCAAAUCAUCAUGCCCCUUAUGACCUGGGCUACACACGUGCUACAAUGGAUGGUACAACGAGUCGCGAGACAGUGAUGUUUAGCUAAUCUCUUAAAACCAUUCUCAGUUCGGAUUGUAGGCUGCAACUCGCCUACAUGAAGUCGGAAUCGCUAGUAAUCGCGGAUCAGCACGCCGCGGUGAAUACGUUCCCGGGCCUUGUACACACCGCCCGUCACACCACGGGAGUUGGGAGUACCCGAAGUAGGUUGCCUAACCGCAAGGAGGGCGCUUCCUAAGGUAAGACCGAUGACUGGGGUGAAGUCGUAACAAGCUAACCGUAAGCUUCAC